rfam:Stachybotrys chlorohalonata IBT 40285 unplaced genomic scaffold scaffold1810, whole genome shotgun sequence.
GACAAAGUGGCCGAGUGGUUAAGGCGUAACACUUGAAUCGUCGAGUAAUGUUAUGGGUUCGCCCUCGCAAGUUCGAAUCUUGUCUUUGUCG